rnacentral:lncRNA from 1 species
UCUGAAUCCUCGGGAUCUGAAUCCUCGGGAUCUGAACCCUUGGGAUCUGAAUCCUUGGGAUCUGAACCCUUGGGAUCUGAAUCCUUGGGAUCUGAAUCCUUGGGAUCUGAGCCCUCGGGAUCUGAAUCCUCGGGAUCUGAAUCCUUGGGAUCUGAACCCUCGGGAUCUGAACCCUCGGGAUCUGAAUCCUUGGGAUCUGAAUCCUCGGGAUCUGAGCCCUUGGGAUCUGAAUCCUCCGGAUCUGAAUCCUCCGGAUCUGAACCCUCGGGGUCUGAGCCCUCGGGAUCUGAAUCCUCGGGAUCUGAAUCCUCCGGAUCUGAGCCCUCGGGAUCUGAGCCCUCGGGAUCUGAGCCCUCGGGAUCUGAACCCUUGGGAUCUGAAUCCUUGGGAUCUGAACCCUCGGGAUCUGAACCCUCGGGAUCUGAAUCCUUGGGAUCUGAACCCUUGGGAUCUGAAUCCUUGGGAUCUGAACCUUCAGGAUCUGAUCCCUCUGGAUCUGAGCCCUCGGGAUCUGAGCCCUCUGGAUCUGAGCCCCCCUGGAAUUCCGAUGGAAACGCCCGGAAUUCUGGUGCAAACCCCCCCAGUGACCCUCCCUGGAAGGUUUUUCUCCCCCUGGACUUGCCCAGGAAAAGGGGAUUUGGGGGUGGGAAGGUCUGGAAUCAGGUCUGGAAUCAGGUCUGGAAUCACCAUCUCCUUAAGGGACUCAGAGUUAAUUGGUCCAACUAAUUGUGGAUUCCCAACUCACUGUGGAUUCCCAAUUGUGGAUUCCCAAUUAAAAUCUCCAUUUCUGGCCCUGCUGGGGUUGUUUCCCAGGGGAAAGAGGGUGGGUUUUUUGCUGGAAAAAGGUUUUUUUCCUGGAGAAAAGGUGAAUCCCAGAGGGAGGAGGAGGAUGGGGGGGUGAGGCCCCGCUGGGAGCAGCUCCAGGUUCUCCCUCCGCUGCUUUUCCAUUUAAUUCCCAAUUCCAGGAGCUCCUGGAAGCCCCUUGUGCUGCUCUUCUCUCCCUGGAAAUCCCACGGGGGCGGAUUUUGGGGCAAAACCGGGCAAAUUUGGGGGCUGGGGAGGGAACACCCCCCGGGCAUUCCGGGCUGGGGCCGGGAUUUCCCCAAAAAUCCCUGUUUUCUCCCCAAACAUCCCCACAAAGGCCUUGGUGGUGUUGGCUCAUCCCAACUGUCUCAUCCCCCUCCCUCUCCUGCUCUUUGCCCAAUUCCAGAGCUUUUCACCCCAAAUGCCUUUUUUUCCCAACACCAUCCAAACCCCUUUUCCCUGAUUUUUUUCCCACCAUUCCCAGUUUUGUUUUCCCUUUUUGCACCUGCAGGGGGAGGGGGGAAAAGCCCCUUUUUCUCCCCGUUUUCCACUCGGAUUCUCCUCCUCCAGCCUCGGUUUUCCUUGGAAAAAACAACGAUUUUGGUUAAAACAGCAGCGGGAUGAGCUGGGGCUGCAUCCCGGGGGGGGUUGAGGGGAAUUUCGGGACAAUCUGGGGGGGAUUUGGGGAAUUCGGGCUCCAACCCUCAAACCUGCAGCAGGAGGGGCCUCGUUUGCUGCUUUAAUUACCUCCCCCGGGAUCACCAAAUUUGGGAUUUCAAGGAACCAAAUUUAGGAUUUUAACAAACCAAAUUCGAGAUUUCAAGGAACCAAAUUCGGGAUUUCAACAAACCAAAUUUGGGAUUUCAACGAACAAAAUUUGGGAUGUCAAGGAACCAAAUUUGGGAUUUCAAUGAACCAAAUUCGGGAUUUUAACGAACCAAAUUCGGGAUUUCAAGGAACCAGAUUUAGGAUUUUAAGGAACCAAACUUAGGAUUUUAACGAACCAAAUUUAGGAUUUUAACGAACCAAAUUCGGGAUUUCAACGAACCAAAUUCGGGAUUUCAAUGAACCAAAUUCGGGAUUUCACCGGAUUUCAC